GUGAAGGUGAUACUGAGCCAGACCCCUAAGGCGGUGGGUUCCCUCUUUAAGUCACCCCUGGUAAGGUAAUUCGGAAAUCAGAGCUCCCUCCUUUGUGGGGGACAACACCUUGGUACCACUUCUAGUGGAGAGAGGGUGCGGCGUGGGUAGGAAGUAAUGCAGAAAGUUUUCAGGUCUCCCAUUCAGACCUGGGGAAAAGGGAAACACAGUGGCUCGCUGUUCCUCCUUCUUCAUUGGAAAGGAAGCUCUGGCAAGCUGGAAGACCAAGUGGGAACAGGGACCUUCUCCAUCGCGGUCCAAAGGAGCGCCUGGAUCACGCUUGUCUGGACGUUGAAGCCCGCUGGAGCACUAGGAGAGCCAUGGUGAGCCAGCAGGAGGGGACUGUGCAAGUUGCUGAAAGAGAUUCGUUAAAACCUCCACCAUGGUUACAAAUUUGCCCACUUGUCUCUUUUGUUCUGUCAACUUUCUGCUUCAUGCAGCCCUGUUAUUAGAUGUCCCCGAUUCGAUCGGUGGAAGCCACUUCGGGACAGCUUCUGACAUGUCCCCAUUAUUCUUUGAGCGCUUCCGUGCAUUUUGGCCCAGGAUGCUCCAGACUCGCUUUGUACUUUCCCUGCCCAGUCCUGGAAUCAGCCAUUCUCUGGGGAUCCCUGCCUUCUUUCUUUGAAACCGUUGUUUAGAAAACAAAAUCUAGGUCUUGCUAAUGAGAUGUAUCCACUCCUGGCUCUGUGUGAACACAGCUUGAGAAUAUGUAUGCAUAUGUAUACAUACAUAUACUAUCUAUUAUACAUCUGUUAUAUAUGCAUAUAUUAUUAUAAUGUAUUAAUAUAUGUGUAUAUAUAGAUGAAUCCACUCAGAUAUAUUCUUUUCCAAAUAAAUAUCACAGGGUUCAUUCCAGUUUUCUCCUUUUCUAUAUUUAUAACUCCCUCUCUCACUAAACCCAAACCUCCUCCCCCCUCCUCACCCUGCUCAGGAUCUGACAUCCCACAUCUGGCGUCCCUCCCAUGGGAAUGCCCUUCUCAUCCUGUCUGGGCUCUGACAUCCUGCUCUGGGCCACCAUGGCUUCCUCCACUCUCCACACCGUGCUCACAAAUGCAUCCACGCCACGCCUUGCUCUGCCCCACCUGAUGGCUUUAAAUUGCUCAC